UACGAAGGGGGCUAGCGUUGCUCGGAAUUACUGGGCGUAAAGGGAGCGUAGGCGGACAUUUAAGUCAGGGGUGAAAUCCCGAGGCUCAACCUCGGAACUGCCUUUGAUACUGGGUGUCUUGAGUGUGAGAGAGGUGAGUGGAACUCCGAGUGUAGAGGUGAAAUUCGUAGAUAUUCGGAAGAACACCAGUGGCGAAGGCGGCUCACUGGCUCGGAACUGACGCUGAGGUGCGAAAGCGUGGGGAGCAAACAGG
rnacentral:rRNA from 1 species